CCUACGGGAGACAGCAGUGGGGGAUAUUGCACAAUGGGGGGAACCCUGAUGCAGCGACGCCGCGUGGGUGAAGGAGCGUUUCGGCGCGUAAAGCCCUAUCGGCAGGGAAGAAGGAGGACGGUACCUGACUAAGACGCCCCGGCUCACUACGUGCCAGCAGCCGCGGGCAUACGUAGGGGGCAAGCGUUAUCCGGAUUUACUGGGUGUAAGGGGGGCGCAGACGGCGGCGCAAGCCAGGAGUGAAAGCCCUGGGCCCAACCCCGGGACUGCUCUUGGAACUGGGGGGCUGGAGUGCAGGAGGGGCAGGCGGAAUUCCUGGUGUAGCGGUGAAAUGCGUAGAUAUCAGGAGGAACACCGGUGGCGAAGGCGGCCUGCUGGACUGCGACUGACGUUGAGGCCCGAAAGCGUGGGGAGCAAACAGGAUUAGAUACCCGAGUAGUC
rnacentral:rRNA from 1 species